AUACUUACCUGGCACGGGAGGCACCUUGAUCAUCAAGGAGGUCCUCCCAGGGCAGGGUUAAUCUCCCCGCCGUCGUCCCCAUAAGCCCCUGCGGCGUCUCGUCGUCUGUGGUACCACGUUCUUUUAUCUUAGCCAAAAGGCUAAACUGCAAAGUGUAGUAUCUGUUCUUC